GACAGAGGGGGCAAGCGUUGUCCGGAAUCAUUGGGCGUAAAGCGCGCGUAGGCGGCCCGGUAAGUCCGUUGUGAAAGUCAAGGGCUCAACCCUUGAAUGCCGGUGGAUACUGUCGGGCUAGAGUCCGGAAGAGGCGAGUGGAAUUCCUGGUGUAGCGGUGAAAUGCGCAGAUAUCAGGAGGAACACCGAUGGCGAAGGCAGCUCGCUGGGACGGUACUGACGCUGAGGCGCGAAAGCGUGGGGAGCAAACAGG
rnacentral:rRNA from 1 species